rnacentral:rRNA from 1 species
UACGUAGGGGGCAAGCGUUGUCCGGAUUUAUUGGGCGUAAAGCGCUCGCAGGUGGUUCGAUGCGUCGGGCGUGAAAGACCCCGGCUCAACUGGGGGGUGUCGUGCGAUACGGUCGGACUGGAGGCCAGUAGGGGGAUGCGGAAUUCCGGGUGUAGUGGUGGAAUGCGUAGAGAUCCGGAGGAACACCAGCGGCGAAGGCGGCAUCCUGGACUGGUCCUGACACUCAUGAGCGAAAGCGUGGGGAGCGAUCCGG